AGUAGCGGUGAAAUGCGUAGAUAUCUGGAGGAAUACCAAAGGCGAAGGCAGUCCCCUGGUCCGAUACUGACACUGAGGUACGAAAGCGUGGGGAGCAAACAGGAUUAGAUACCCUGGUAGUCCACGCCCUAAACGAUGUCGAUUAGCCAUUGGAAGGACCCCUUUUCCUUUCAGUGACGUAGCUAACGCGUUAAAUCGACCGCCUGGGAAGUACGACCGCAAGGUUAAAACUCAAAGGAAUUGACGGGGACCUGAACAAGCGGUGAAUGAUGUGGAUUAAUUCGAUGCUACGCGAAGAACCUUACCUACCUUUGACAUGGCCAAAGUUCUACCGAGAGGCGGAAGUACUCGUAAGAGGAUUGGCGCACAGGUGCUGCAUGGUUGUCGUCAGUUCGUGUCGUGAGAUGUUGGGUUCAGUCCCGCAACGAACGCAACCCUUAUCUUUAAUUGCUCCUAUUUUAACAGGCACUUUAAAGAAACUGCCAAUGAUAAGUUGGAGGAAGGUGGGGAUCACGUCAAGUCCGCAUGGCCUUUAUAGGUAGGGCUUCACACGUCAUGCAAUGGUUAGAACAAAGAGCUGCAAAUUCGUAAGAAGGAGCCAAUCUCACAAACCUAACCUCAGUUCGAAUUGCGGUCUGCAACUCGAGCGCAUGAAGCCGGAAUCGCUAGUAAUCGUGGAUCAGAAUGCCA
rnacentral:rRNA from 1 species